GUUCUGUUUGUUUCUUAUACCAGCAUAAUUCAAUGCAUAGAGAGCUCUCUCAUUAUCUUUGUUCUUUUAAUGCUUAGUUUAUGAAUUGAUUUUCUUGGUGUAAAUUCGCCUUAGCAAUGAUUUUGAGAGAUAAAAUUGUGGCUUAUAGUUUGGUGCUUCUAAUAUGAAUGUGUAGAUUCUAAACUAUAGAGGGCCUGUUUUUGGUUUUUCACUUAAACUUCAAUAUCUGUAUGUUUGCAGGCUGAGGAUACAACAGAGGAUUAAAAGCGCAGAGCUCAGGAUGUUAACCGAGGAGCAAGAAAAUGAACUUCUGAACUUUACACCAUUCAUUCCAUUGAUGUCUCCCUUGUUGUAGUGACGUUGAUCCCAUAGUAGCAUCUUCUCUGCAGGAGCAUCAGAGAUGUAAAUAUUGUCUUGGAACUGCUUAUGGCUCAUCUUCUGAUGCAAUGACUAUAAUCCAACAAUGAUCUCCUAUUGUUAAGGGGAUGAUGAUUGAAUUUGCUAAGAACUCAGUUGAUUAAGCUACUGCCAGCGCCCAGUGGAAAGAAGCAUGUUAUAUUGUUUUCAAGAUUAAACUUUCGGGGGUGGCAGAGAAUUAAUGUACCUCCUUUGUGCUUUAUAGCUUUACAUGAUUUCUUCUGUUGGUAAAUAUGCAAGCAUUCUUUUUUAAUAUAAGUCAAUACUUACUUACAAAGACAAUAUCAGUAGGAGUUACAUUCUUUUGUAAUGUGUAAAAUGACAAAUUUUUCAGUUAUUGAUUUUAGCUUACGAUUGUGAUCA